rnacentral:rRNA from 1 species
UGGGGAAUAUUGCACAAUGGGGGAAACCCUGAUGCAGCGACGCCGCGUGAACGAAGAAGGUAUUCGUAUCGUAAAGUUCUGUCCUAUGGGAAGAUAAUGACAGUACAAUAGAAGAAAGCUCCGGCUAAAUACGUGCCAGCAGCAGCGGUAAUACGUAUGGAGCGAGCGUUGUCCGGAAUUAUUGGGCGUAAAGGGUACGCAGGCGGUUUAAUAAGUCGAAUGUUAAAGAUCGGGGCUCAACCCCGUAAAGCAUUGGAAACUGAUAAGCUUGAGUAGUGGAGAGGAAAGUGGAAUUCCUAGUGUAGUGGUGAAAUACGUAGAUAUUAGGAGGAAUACCAGUAGCGAAGGCGACUUUCUGGACACAAACUGACGCUGAGGUACGAAAGCGUGGGGAGCAAACAGG